rnacentral:rRNA from 11 species
UGGUGACUAUAGCAAGGAGGUCACACCUGUUCCCAUGCCGAACACAGAAGUUAAGCUCCUUAGCGUCGAUGGUAGUCGAA